UUCACUCCAUUCUGAGGAUCUCAUCAGCACGCUCUCCGGCGCGGCGGCGGCCCUUCCUUCGAGACUAGGAGCUCGCCGUCGGAGUCAUCCCCUUCCCCAAUCCCUGCGACGCGUUCGGCCGGUCCGUGCGGGAGGAGGACGACGAUGAGGCGCUGCGCUGGGCGGCCAUCGAGCAGCUGCCCAUCUACGACCGCAUGCGCAAGGGCAUCCUCACGGGGGCCGCGGCCGGCGUCGAGGAGGUGGACAUCCAGGGGCUCGGCAUGCAGGAGCGCAAGAACCUCAUCGAGCGCCUCGUGCGCACCGCCGAGGAGGACAACGAGCGCUUCCUGCUCAAGCUCCGCGACCGCAUGGAGCGGUGAGUAAAAGAAAGAAAAAAAAGUUCAGCUCUUAUUUGAAUCCUUGGUCACCGGUGAAGUGAAGAGAAAUUCAGAAAGCGAUUGUAAAUUGACCUGCAGGGUUGGGAUCGAUAAUCCGACGAUAGAGGUGCGUUUUGAGAACCUGAACAUCGACGCCGAGGCCUACGUCGGCAACCGAGGUGUCCCCACGAUGACCAACUUCUUCUCCAACAAAGUCAUGGAUGUACUAAGUGCUAUGCACAUCGUCUCUAGCGGGAAGAGGCCUGUCUCCAUCGUUCACGAUAUCAGUGGGGUCAUAAGACCCGGCAGAAUGUGAACGUCCUUGCUGCUUGGACCUCCUGGAUCCGGGAAAACAAGUCUACUUCUGGCUUUGGCAGGGAAACUUGACUCCAAUCUGAAGGUGUCAGGAAGAGUGACUUACAAUGGUCAUGACAUGGAUGAAUUUGUCCCUCAGAGGACAUCGGCAUACAUCAGGCGGCACGAUGUUCACGUCGGCGAAAUGACGGUCCGGGAAACACUUGCCUUUUCUGCAAGAUGUCAAGGAGUCGGAACGCGUUAUGGUAUGUAAACACAGACAUUGGAAAGGAACACAGAUAAUUAUUCACCUUCGGGGUGAACCUGAUGGUGUUUUCAAAUUACGCAGACAUGCUUACUGAGCUUUCAAGAAGGGAGAAAGAAGCCAACAUUAAAACCAGAUCCUGAUGUCGAUGUUUACAUGAAGGCUAUCUCCGUGGAAGGUCAGGAGAGCGUGGUUACAGAUUACAUCCUCAAGAUUCUGGGUCUGGAGAUCUGUGCGGAUACAAUGGUUGGAGACUCUAUGAUCAGAGGUAUCUCAGGAGGACAAAAGAAGCGUGUCACAACCGAACGAUGGCACAGCAACAGCUUCUUUCUUGCUAACCAUUGCUAGACAUAACUUGACGAAAAGAAUAGAGCACAUAGAAAACGUUCUCAAUGAUUUGAAGAUAUCACAUCUGUUGAACCAGCAAAGCAGCAGCAGCAGCAGUAAGAAAGAAAGGAGUAGCAGGCAUGAGGAUAUUGAGUACCUGUACAGAAGCAUUGAGCGGAAGGUAAUUGGUCGAGAUAAGGAGCGUGAGAAGCUUAUCAGUAUGCUUCGUAGGGGACCUGGUCCGGAGACACCAAGCUCCAGUAGCAGUAAACAUUAUUCUGUGAUUGGUAUAUAUGGCAUUGCAGGGUCUGGGAAGAGUACCCUGGCACAAUAUGUCUGUGAUUAUGAGAAGGCCGAAGGCCAACAUUUUGACCCUGUCAUGUUCAUUCAUGUGUCUCAGACAUUUAGGGUGGAUAAGAUAUUUCGUGACAUGCUGAGGGAGAUCAGGAAGGACAGGCAAUCUGACAGCAACAGUGUUAAAUGCCUACACG